GUUUUCCUCUCCCACUCUGAUAACCUGUGUUUCGAUACGAAACGGGCCCUGCCUCAUUAUUUGUCAUCUCCCUGGAGGUGACGGAGGGCUGUUUCAACCUCAGGGGAAAAGUUGCUGUACAGAACACAGGCCAGAGUGUGCCCCAAAGAAAUCAGGCGGUGGAGUGAUUUAAAAGUGAUCAUUUUCUGUAGUCCUAGCUACUCGGGAGGCUGAGGCAGGAAAAUCGCUUGAACCCGGGAGAAGAAGGAUGCAGUGAGCAGAGAUCGUGCCAUUGCACUUCAGCCUGGCGACAGAGCAAGACUCCGUCUCAAAAAGAAAAAAAAAAAGUGAUCAUUUUCAUGACUUGGACUAGGAAGAUCAACUGGGCACGGUGAUUCUUGCACAGAUUUUUAUAAGGAUCCUCCAAGUGUAACAACCAUUUGGAAAACUCCGGGCCUUGAGGACAGCCAGAGAAGAUAAGUUCAACUUGCACUUUGCCAGAGCAGGGGAUCUCCCUCAGCUCCCUGCCUUCAAACCUACCUUACAGACCUGCCUGGCCUGCACCUGAGCCACCCUCUUCUUCCUUCCUAUUCCCACUAAGGAGGUGUCCCUGCUUCCUUCAUAGUGGGUCCUUCCCCUGCACCGGGAAACAGGCCCUAGAGAUGACUCCAUGGGGUGAAGGACCAGAGCCUCCUUGCCUCUCUCUCUGUCUCUCUCUCCCUCUCUUGUCUUCCCAUGAAGCUCUGAUGUUUCCAGUACAAAAUAAACCUCGCUCAGUCCCAGUCCUUCUCCAGUUCCUCCCCUCACAAGCAUGGCCCCCCACUGCUGGCUUUCCUUCCCCACCUUCCACCCUCUCCUUGGCCUUCUCCACUCUGGCUUCAGUGGCCUCCGAUGGCUACACUCAGAGCCUGGGUGCACUGUCCUUUGGAAGCUUCCCUCUGGGGCCGCCUGUCAGCCUCCUCUGAAGACUCACACUCC
rnacentral:lncRNA from 1 species